rnacentral:misc_RNA from 1 species
GGGGUGCCAGUCUCAAUGCAGAAAAUGUGAAUGGGUGGACAUCUUUGAUGGUUGCUCGAUCAUGGCAUAGAGAUGGGCUGGAGGAGAUUUUAAGUACUCGUCCAGAAAAACAACCACGUCCCCUUCCUUCACCAUUCUUAUGCCUCCCUCUUAUGAGUAUAGUGAAGAUUGCUAGAGAAUGUGGAUGGAGAACAAUUGAUUCCCCUACGUCAACUU